rnacentral:rRNA from 1 species
GACCAGACUCCUACGGGAGGCAGCAGUGAGGAAUAUUGGUCAAUGGGCGAGAGCCUGAACCAGCCAAGUCGCGUGAGGGAAGACGGUCCUAUGGAUUGUAAACCUCUUUUGCCGGGGAGCAAAAAGCGGUACGUGUACCGCAUUGAGAGUACCCGGAGAAAAAGCAUCGGCUAACUCCGUGCCAGCAGCCGCGGUAAUACGGAGGAUGCGAGCGUUAUCCGGAUUUAUUGGGUUUAAAGGGUGCGCAGGCGGCGAGUUAAGUCAGCGGUAAAAAUUCGGGGCUCAACCCCGUCGUGCCGUUGAAACUGAUGUUCUUGAGUGGGCGAGAAGUAUGCGGAAUGCGUGGUGUAGCGGUGAAAUGCAUAGAUAUCACGCAGAACUCCGAUUGCGAAGGCAGCAUACCGGCGCGCAACUGACGCUCAUGCACGAAAGCGUGGGUAUCGAACAGGAUUAGAUACCCCGGUAUU